AAACUGAUUUAAGCACCACCUGAAUUACUGCAUCCAACUAACGGCAUGCUAUACUACGUUACCUUUCGCAAAUACCUAAAUGACACAUGUAAAUACAAUGCUCACUUAUUACUUAUGCGGAAGGAUGCUCUCAACACGUCUUGUCACUUCGACGUUCGCGAGAGAAA